GUUAGCUAGCUCAGUGGUUAGACCUUGGGGCUUGUGACCAGAAGUUCCCGGGAUCAAAUCCCGCCAGGGGCGAAUA
rnacentral:tRNA from 1 species